GUAGCCCUACGGGGCGCAGCAGUGGGGAAUAUUGGUCAAUGGGGGAAACCCUGAACCAGCAACGCCGCGUGAGGGAAGACGGUUUUCGGAUUGUAAACCUCUGUCCUCUGUGAAGAUGAUGACGGUAGCAGAGGAGGAAGCUCCGGCUAACUACGUGCCAGCGGCCGCGGUAAUACGUAGGGAGCGAGCGUUGUCCGGAUUUACUGGGUGUAAAGGGUGCGUAGGCGGCUUGGCAAGUCAGUAGUGAAAUCCAUGGGCUUAACCCAUGAACUGCUAUUGAACCUGUCGAGCUUGAGUGAAGUAGG
rnacentral:rRNA from 1 species